UUCGAGAGGAAAGUGAUAUGAAAAACUGUAACUGGGAUUAAAAUGGGAACAUUUGUUAAAAAGAAUAAAUUGAAUAAUAGUUCCAAGUGGUUUACAUUUGGACAAAAAAUUAGAUCAUAACUUAAGUGUU
rnacentral:sRNA from 20 species